UUAUAAGCAAAAAUUUAUAUUUUAGAUUCAUUCAAUUAAUGAUGUAUAUGGUCUUUAUUAUAGACCACAUACAUCAUUUAAUGAAUGAAUUUAAAAUAUUGAUUUUUGCUUAUAA
rfam:Medicago truncatula strain A17 chromosome 1, whole genome shotgun sequence.